AAAAACCCUAAAAACAAGAAUAAAAGCAAUCUUUUCAUCUGCAUAACGAUUGUCUUGUUUGAUUUUCAAAAAGCUUUUCAUAUCAAAAUCAUUAUGCAGGUUGUUUCUUAAACCCAUUGAACAUAGUGAUCGGACGUCAUCUCCCAAUUUUGAAUUCCCUGUAUUCGAAGCGGACGAAGAUGAUGUUGAAGGGAUUCCCGACGAGAUUUCCCGACUUCUUGAGCAAGAAAAGAAGAUCACUCAGCUGCAUCUCGAGAAUCAGCAGAACAGCCAACUGGGGCAUCAAAAAAAU
rnacentral:lncRNA from 1 species